AAGUGACGCCAUCUGGUGGAAGAUGGAGCUAUUUGAAAGUAAUAGCAGAGACAUUUGUACAAGAAGUGAGUUUGACAGGCACAAACACAGUUCAUUACCUUCAUGUUAAUUAAUUCAAUGCAUGUGAAUGAAUGAACCUUUUUUAGAAUUGAAAGCCUCCUAUUUCAGUGUCUUAAUUUGUCCGUUCUGACGAGUUAAAUUGAUUUUCUUCAGAAGUUGAUGUGGAGAUCCUGCAUUAAUUGGUCAUUUUGGAGAGAUUUUCACUCUUCUUAGAUCCAAUUGGAUACGAAUACCAAAAUGAUUAUUUAGCUUAAUAUGAAUCGAGGACACAUUCAAAUCGAUAUUGAGUUUUUUUGUUUGUUUGUUUUUUGUGCAAAAUUCACACAGUGCUGCCAUCUAUCGGCUAUGCACUUCUCCUGAAGACUUUACAGAAAUAAUGACAAAGUAGAUGUAGAAAAGAAACAAAAUAAACACAAAACAAAUAAAUACCGAAUAAGUUACACAUCUAGUUUUAUAAAUUCGUUUGAUUUGGUCGUUUCUUCAAUCCGUUAACUUUAACAAUCACGUGACUACCAACAGGAGGGACUUUGCGUGUUUUUGUCUUCUUCAGGACAAGACAAAAGUUUCCUCAGUCAUCGAACUGGAUGGUAAAAUAUCCUGCAAAAUCAUGGACCGACUUUUGACCGUCAUUGGACAACAACAUAUAGGUCUUACGGUGGGAUUGAGUUUGAUGAUCGUCGUUGUGGUUGUCGUCCUCGCGACGGUUGUUUACACUCCACCGGGCGCCACAACGCGCUGCUUGAGAAGAAACAGGAGCGAAGAACACCUCUCUCUGACUGCUAACACGAUUUCAUGACUGCUAACAGAAACAUAUUCACUUUAUGGAUCUCUUUGGAGAAUUGUUUCUGAAAAAUGACUUCCAAAACAAAUCACAGUUACCAUGGAAAUGUAUUAAAAUGUCAUUGACAUUUCUAAAGUGA